GUGCUCGCUUCAGCAGCACAUAUACUAAAAUUGGAACGAUACAGAGAAGAUUAGCAUGGCCCCUAGACAAAAUAAAUAAAUAAAUAAAUAAAUAACAGCAAUUCAA